rnacentral:sRNA from 1 species
CACACUUCUGGGUACAACUGCGGAAUUG